rnacentral:rRNA from 1 species
CGCGCAAUUACCCACUCCCGGCACGGGGAGGUAGUGACGAAAAAUAACGAUACGGGACUCAUCCGAGGCCCCGUAAUCGGAAUGAGUAUACUCUAAAUCCUUGUACAAGUAUCAAUUGGAGGGCAAGUCUGGUGCCAGCAGCCGCGGUAAUUCCAGCUCCAAUAGCGUAUAUUAAAGUUGUUGCGGUUAAAAAGCUCGUAGUUGGAUCUGUGUCCUUCGACGCCGGUUCACCGCCUGUCGGUGCCAACUGGCGUUUUGCGGGACGUCCUGUCGGUGGCGCGCCUGGGAUCUUUGUUGUGUUUCGGGUACAUCCUGAGGCCGGCUCUGGUUCUGGGCCGCUUUCAUAAUCCCGCCGCGGUGCUCUUUACCGAGUGUCGAGGCGGGCCGGCACGUUUACUUUGAACAAAUUAGAGUGCUUCAAGCAGGCUCUUCAUGCCUGGAUACUGUGUGCAUGGAAUAAUGGAAUAGGACCUCGGUUCUAUUUUGUUGGUUUCCGGAAUCUGAGGUAAUGAUCAAUGGGGACAGGCGGGGGCAUUCGUAUUGCGACGUUAGAGGUGAAAUUCUUGGAUCGUCGCAAGACGGACCGAAGCGAAAGCAUUUGCCAAGUAUGUUCCCGUCGAUCAAGAACGAAAGUUAGAGGUUCGAAGGCGAUCAGAUACCGCCCUAGUUCUAACCAUAAACAAUGCCUGCCAGCGAUCCGCCGGCGUCUUUUCUGAUGACCCGGCGGGCAGCUUCCGGGAAACCAAAGCUUUUGGGUUCCGGGGGAAGUAUGGUUGCAAAGCUGAAACUUAAAGGAAUUGACGGAAGGGCACCACCAGGAGUGGAGCCUGCGGCUUAAUUUGACUCAACACGGGAAAACUCACCAGGCCCGGACACCGGAAGGAUUGACAGAUUGAUAGCUCUUUCUUGAUUCGGUGGGUGGUGGUGCAUGGCCGUUCUUAGUUGGUGGAGCGAUUUGUCUGGUUAAUUCCGAUAACGAACGAGACUCUAGCCUACUAACUAGACGUAUCUGGUAUCAGCAAUCGUGCUACCAGCGAUCAUAUCUCUUCUUAGAGGGACAGGCGGCUUCUAGCCGCACGAGACUGAGCAAUAACAGGUCUGUGAUGCCCUUAGAUGUCCUGGGCCGCACGCGCGCUACACUGAAGGAAUCAGCGUGUCUUCCCUGUCCGAAAGGACCGGGUAACCCGCUGAACCUCCUUCGUGCUUGGGAUUGGGGCUUGCAAUUGUUCCCCAUGAACGAGGAAUUCCCAGUAAGCGCGAGUCAUAAGCUCGCGUUGAUUACGUCCCUGCCCUUUGUACACACCGCCCGUCGC